UCCCUUGUAGCUCAGUUGGUAGAGCACGUGACUGUUAAUCACGGGGUCUCUGGUUCGAGUCCAGGCGGGGGAG
rnacentral:tRNA from 1 species